rnacentral:rRNA from 1 species
GAUGAACGCUGGCGGCGCGCCUAACACAUGCAAGUCGAACGGCACCCACCCUCGGGUGGAAGCGAGUGGCGAACGGCUGAGUAACACGUGGAGAACCCGCCCCCUCCUCCGGGAUAGCCUCGGGAAACCGUGGGUAAUACCGGAUGACCCCGCAGGGCCGCAUGGCCCCGCGGGCAAAGCCCAGACGGGAGGGGAUGGCUCCGCGGCCCAUCAGGUAGACGGCGGGGUGACGGCCCACCGUGCCGACGACGGGUAGCCGGGUUGAGAGACCGACCGGCCAGAUUGGGACUGAGACACGGCCCAGACUCCUACGGGAGGCAGCAGUGGGGAAUCUUGCGCAAUGGGGGGAACCCUGACGCAGCGACGCCGCGUGCGGGACGAAGGCCCCCGGGUCGUAAACCGCUUUCAGCAGGGAUGAGACAAGACGGUAC